CACCGUGGUUGUUAAAAACUCUACCAUUGUGUAUUUCCCGACCAUGGCACUACACACGCCGGACCGCCGUGGAUUUUACAGCAGGGAUAAACGAACUUCCGGUUCGAAUUUUUCAAAGUAAAGUCACGUUGUUGAAAACUCCACAGAUGUCCGCUCCCACCAGAGGCACUCCGAACAGGCUGAACUGCAGCACGGCUGACAGAGGGAAGAAAAGCUACAGAAACCACUGCCUGAACACAGAGAAUCGUCCGCUGCCGGGGAAGGAGGAGCGCGACAGGACAAAGGGUCUCUUCCUCCGAAUGUUCUUGAGAGCACUGAAGGUGGACGCAUUUUAAAAAGUCAAUGUUAUCCUCAAGCAUCCUCAGUCCAGGUGAAAUAAAAAAAAA